AGAAACUUGUCUUUGUGAUCAUCUCUAUCCUUAGACUCAUCAUGAUAUUAUUCCUCUCAUUUUUGCAUGAUUUUUGAGUGUUUGCAUUGCGAUUUAUUAUUAUUUAUGGACUCUAUAUUUUUUUUUCAUUCUAAAAGUACAUUUGUAAGGAUCACACCUAAUAUUUUUUCUUUUUAACAAAUUUGAGUAUUUAAUCAAUGUUCUAAAUACAACCAUUUUUGUGGAAAUGAAUUGCAAUUUUCUUACUUUUUUAUUUUGAUGUAAACUCCAAAAUUUUAUAUACGUUAUUAAAAUACAGGAUGUAAUGAAAGUGCCUAACAGAAACAAAAAAAAUGUUUUGAUAUUUAAAUCAGAAAACAUCCAUAUCUGUGAAGUCUACCUCAGUUUUGGCACUUCAAGGUGUUCAUCCACAAGUUCUUGUAGUCACACGUCACAAGUAGUAUUUAGUUUUUAGUUUCUUUUAUUUAGGCAUCACAGGCUUUGCAUGUGUCAACUUAUCAUAGUAGAUCUCAGUCAUUAAAUCAGGCACUAAUUAGCUACAUGUAGGUUGUGUUAAUUGUCAGAAGUCCCUACAUCACCCUACUACCCUGUGUCUCAUGUUUACUGGGUUCUGUGUUGGAUCAUCUUGCUGACAUGCUGUGUUAUAUCUGGUGUAAUUCAAUCUUGUUAUGGAGCUUGUUUUUCGUUAUCAAUUGAACACCACUAUUAAAUUUUAAUUCUAUGUUCAGCAAUCCAAUAUUACUGUCCAAAUAAAAUCUUGAUAUG
rnacentral:misc_RNA from 1 species